GCAUCGGUGGUUCAGUGGUAGAAUACUCGCCCACUAAGCGAGCGACCUGAGCUCGAUUUCUGGCCGAUACA